rnacentral:rRNA from 1 species
GAGUUUGAUCCUGGCUCAGGAUGAACGCUAGUGGCAGGCUUAACACAUGCAAGUCGAGGGGUAACAUUGGAGCUUGCUUCAGAUGACGACCGGCGCACGGGUGCGUAACGCGUAUAGAACCUACCUUUUACAAAGGGAUAGCCUUUAGAAAUGAAGAUUAAUACCUUAUAGUAUUUUAGAUUAGCAUUAAUUUAAAAUUAAAGAUUUAUCGGUAAAAGAUGGCUAUGCGUUCUAUUAGCUAGAUGGAGUGGUAACGGCACCCCAUGGCUACGAUAGAUAGGGGCCCUGAGAGGGGGAUCCCCCACACUGGUACUGAGACACGGACCAGACUCCUACGGGAGGCAGCAGUGAGGAAUAUUGGACAAUGGAGGCAACUCUGAUCCAGCCAUGCCGCGUGCAGGAUGACUGCCCUAUGGGUUGUAAACUGCUUUUAUACAGGAAGAAACACUCCCUCGUGAGGGAGCUUGACGGUACUGUAAGAAUAAGGAUCGGCUAACUCCGUGCCAGCAGCCGCGGUAAUACGGAGGAUCCAAGCGUUAUCCGGAAUCAUUGGGUUUAAAGGGUCCGUGGGUGGAUGAUUAAGUCAGAGGUGAAAUCCUGCAGCUCAACUGUAGAAUUGCCUUUGAUACUGGUUAUCUUGAAUCAUUAUGAAGUAGUUAGAAUAUGUAGUGUAGCGGUGAAAUGCAUAGAUAUUACAUAGAAUACCAAUUGCGAAGGCAGAUUACUAAUAAUGUAUUGACACUGAUGGACGAAAGCGUGGGGAGCGAACAGGAUUAGAUACCCUGGUAGUCCACGCCGUAAACGAUGGUUACUAGCUGUUCGGUUUUCGGACUGAGUGGCUAAGCGAAAGUGAUAAGUAACCCACCUGGGGAGUACGUUCGCAAGAAUGAAACUCAAAGGAAUUGACGG